rnacentral:rRNA from 1 species
GACAGAGGGUGCAAACGUUGUUCGGAAUUACUGGGCGUAAAGCGCAUGUAGGCGGUUCGUAAAGUUAGAUGUGAAAGCCCUGGGCUUAACCCAGGAGGUGCAUUUGAAACUCACGAACUGGAGUCCCGGAGAGGAAGGCGGAAUUCUCGGUGUAGAGGUGAAAUUCGUAGAUAUCGAGAGGAACAUCUGCGGCGAAGGCGGCCUUCUGGACGGUGACUGACGCUGAGAUGCGAAAGCGUGGGGAGCAAACAGG